CAAGGAAUACCGCGACACAACUCUUAAUGGUGCUGUUGAACAAAUGUACACUGAGAUGGCAUCUCGCCACAGGGUGAGGUUUCCAUGCAUCCAAAUCAUUAAGACAGCUACCAUCCCAGCCAAGCUUUGCAAGAGAGAGAGUACCAAGCAGUUUCACAACUCCAAAAUCAAAUUUCCAUUGGUGUUCAAGAAGGUUAGACCCCCAUCCAGGAAGCUCAAGACAACAUACAAGGCUUCCAGGCCCAACCUGUUUAUGUGACGUGGUUCGUCAUUUUGCUGGUUCCUCAAUAUAUCAACUUGUUAGAUUGAAUAGCUUGUUGAACUAGAGUGAAUUGGACAUGAUCUCUUUUAUGAACUCGUUACUUCUGGUGAGAUAGAUCUGCAUUUGUUGUUCACUCUUUCAAGUUUUGAAUAUCAUGUGGUUUGUUAAGUUGCCUAUGCGUUUUGAGGUUGCUUAUUUGAUGUCAUGAUGAAGCCUUUUUGGGGGUGUUAUGUAGGCAUUGCCGUGGAAUUGCUAGAUAGUGGUGCUUUCCCAACUCGGGAAAAGUGCUUCUUGUAGCUCCUUUAAUGAACCUGGAGCACUUCCGAAGAUCAUUUUUAUUUUCAAAUAUGGUGCAGGGGAAAGAAAAACCUAACAAAAGCAUAAAACAUGAAAGCAUAAUUCUGUGGUAGAAAUGUGAUGCAAGCACUUGUAGAGGCAUGGUAAACAUUUCUCUGUAACAUGGGAGGUGCUAAAAGUUUUGAGUUGUUCGGCAAUGGCCAGGUUUAAACCGUUUUCUCAGUGCAAAUUUUUGGGGGAGGAAUGCACGUGUGGAUAAAAGGUAGUGCUUGCCUGAACCGGAACCUCAUCUCAUGGCGUCAUAACAUGGAUUUGAUGAAUUGAUCCGUCCAUUUAUACGAAAUAUCAUAUACACAAGAUUUCCCAAAUAUCAUAUACACAAGAUUUCCCAAUACGCGCGCGCGCGCACACAAAUACUCUCUCACAUUUAUAUCUCUGUAAUGGUGGUAGAAAUGAACCUGGAGCACUUCCGAAGAUAAUUUUUAUUUUCAAAUAUGGUGCAGGGGAAAUAAAAACCUAACUAAAGCAUAAAACGUGAAAGCAUAAUUGGUGGUAGAAAUGUGAUGCUAGAGGCAUGGUAAACAUUUCUCUGUAACAUGGGAGGUGCUAAAAGUUUUGAGUUGUUCGGCAAUGGCCAGGUUUAGACGGUUUUCUCAGUGACAAAUUCUUGGGGGAGGAAUGCACGUGUUGGAUAAAAGGGAGUGCUCGCCUGAACCGGAACCUCAUCUCAUGGCGUCAUGACAUGGAUUUGAUGAAUUGAUCUGUCCAUUUAUACGAAAUAUCAUAUAUACAAGAUUUCUCAAUUAUCACACACACACGAGUACUCUCUCACAUUUAUUUCUCUGUAACUUGCGCUCUCAUAUUGUAGGAAGAAAAGAAGAUGGGAUAGCUGUCUUCCAUCCCAGAAAUAACCAGGAAGGAACAACCCACCCCUCUAAUCAAAGCUUUUGCUAUCACUUCUGCAAACGUUUGACCUUAGUAUGCUUGCAUUGAAAGCAUGGCUGCAUUUCACAAUAUUCUUCCUUGCCUAACUUUGGUCAGAGUGGUUAGCUGCUUGCUUGUAAGAAGAAAACAACGUGAAUAAUUAAUGCUUUCUUAAAAGGAAUGAAUGGGCUAUGAAAUGAUGUGGAUGAAUUACGGUAGAUUUGCACUCUUCGUGCACUCGUAAAACACUGUGGACUUAGAUUUGCACUCUUUAUCCACUCAUGAAACACUGCGAACUUAUUGUUUAUUUUCUAACAACUCAUUUUGGUUCUUAAGUAUUUUUAGGCGAUUUAUUCAUAAUUAAAUUUCAAUUGCUUUUGAUUUUUUAGAUAAUGGUGUAAUUAUAAUAAGAGGGAUCGACUGAACAUGGAUAUGACAUACCAUAAAUUUCAUAAAAAAAAUACACUUAGAUUCUCAAUCUUUAAAAAUAAUACAAUUUAUAUAAUUUAGGUUCCUUUAAAUUUUCAAAAUCCAUUUUCGAUAUAGAAAUUCAUUUGUAUUAUUUUUCAGUCCUUGGUUGAGGAAGCCAAAACCACUAACCCUAUUUUCAGUUCCUGAUUUUAGAUUUUUGUACUUUUUUUUGGAUAUUUUGGGUUGGUUUGUAGAUGUUUUAAGAGUGUUAAUAAGAUAUUUUUUAGUUGAAAUGAUUUAAAAAUUAUAUAUUUUUUAGGAAAAGAAACAUUAUCCUAUUUUUAUAGUUAAAUGAAGAUUCUUGUUUACGUGGUUUUUUUUUUAAAAAAAAUUAUUACUUAAAAGUAACUUUUUUAAAAUAUUUUUACUUAAAAUUAUAAUUUUCAAGUGGCUCCUUCGGUAUGAUUAAUGAAGUUGAACCUUUGCACCUUCGGUUGGGAAUUGAGUAGGAGAACAAUUAAUUCCAUUUCUCAAUAAUUUUUUUUUGAAAAUUUAUGUUAGUAUACUUGAUUAUAUAUUAAUAAAAAACAAACUUAAUAAUAUUAAUAAUGAUGAUGUUGAUAGAUAAAAGCAUAAUUUAUGGCAACAUCUUUAAAACAGGAAAGGAAGAAAAGGUGGGAAAUUAGUUUAAUUUCUUUACCUUGAAACCAUUAUAGUUACAAACUUCUUGGUUGCCCAUUCCUCAGUUAUUUAGAUUCUGUUUGUUUUUAUAUUUUAAAAGUAUUUUUAAAAAAAUUUAAAUUUUUUUUUAUUCAAAUUAAUAUUUUUUUAGUGUUUUUAGAUUAUUUUGAUACGCUGAUUUCAAAAAUAAUUUUUAAAAAUAAAAAAAUAAUAUUAUUUUGAUACAUUUCUAAGUGAAAAGUACUUUAAAAAGCAACCGUAAUCACACACCCAAAUAUACCUAAGGCACCAAAUUCCUUACCUUUCAAUGAUGGGUAGUGUCACGUGGUAAUUUUUCGCUCCGCGAAUAAACCUGUGCGGCACCUAGUGCCUCACUAGACUCAACCUUCCCUCGCCAAUCCCACUCGUGUUUGCCUAAUAACUAAACAAGCGGAAUACACAAGUAGAAUAAGAUAAUCAAAGUGCACAACAAGCUUUACAUGAACUCUUUCCCAACCUUUAUUGAUCUCGUAAACAAAGGGAACUAUACACAAAUCCGUAUGUGUGCUAUGCACAAAGAUUGCAUGCUACACCAAGCUAUCUCUACCUAGUGCUCUACAUGCUCUUGCAUGCCCCUACAUGCUGGACAUACCCCACACAUGCUCCCCUUCAACCAAGAGCUGCAACAAGUAUUUAUAGACAAGCAUUUACAAGACACAACUCCCAUUCCUACUUUUAAGGAAGUAGUGGGACAUUAUCUCACCCUUGAACAUAGUGGCCCCAUUAUCUACCAAGUAGUGAGGAGUUUCCCCCCUAUGAUCCCCCAUGAUCUUCGUGGGUUGAGAGCAACCCCUGGUCAGCCCUCAUGAUCUCAUGAUCUUGGAUAUCCAUAACUGCCACUACUCACGUUCUGCAUGCCCACCUUGCAGCCCCAACUGCCAGUUCUUGUUGUGUCUCCUGCUGGUCUCUCACAUGCCUUGGACAGUCCUUUGUCCAAGUUUCAGAUCGUGCCAAGUCGAACCACCGACUCACACAAGCCGUUGCACGUUGCCGAAUUCACAUCUGCGUGCAAGCUGCCAAUGUCUGCGCUGUCGAAUUCGCAUCUACGUGCAGGAUGCCAAUGUCUGCGCUGUCGAAUUCCGCGACAGCCCCAGUUCUCGUCAGCCUAUCCUCCUAACGAGUUUUCCUGCUUGGCCUGGACAGUCCAUCGUCCAGCCCAUGUUCGUCAACAAUCUGCGCUGCCGAUUUUCCUUUGACAAACCUACAGCUGUACAAAUCUGCGUUGCCAAUUUAUCCCACUGUUGGCAACUUGGCAUGGCUGCCAGCACUCUUAGGCAUUGUUUUGGACAGCCUGCCGAAGCAUGCACCUCGUGCAUAUUUGACACUGUUACAAGUAGCCAUCAACCCUUAUACAUUGUCUUAUGACUUUACAGAGACCUGUAUUAUUAAUAAAUAAUCGUUUCACCUAGUCACUACGAUCCCCUUUGAGAGGAAGCAUUCCUUUCAAAAUCAAGGGGCUAUUUUGAAAAGUUUUUCAGAGAGAGUUGUCUCGUGUUUCUAGAUAUUUUCUAUGUACUCACCUAUAUUAAUUACAAAAAUAACAUAACUUGAGAUACUCAAACCAAAUAUAAUUUAAUAAGAAAAUAAAAUUAAAAAAAAUCACAUGAGGUUAAAAUUCAUUUUUUUCCUUAAGAGUAAAUUAUUAUUUGAUAUUUGUGUUUUUAACAAGAUGAUUAGUUAAUCUUUUUAUUUAAAAAACCUAAAAUUAAGUCCUUAUUUUUUCAUGUUUGAUGGUGACUUGGUCAGUGGCAGAGCCAAAAAAUUUUAAGUGAGGGGGCAAAUUACUAACAAAUACUUGAUAUUAUAUAGUAGAUAGACAUGUGUUAUAUAUAGAGAAAUCAAUUUGAAAUGCAUGUACUAACUCAUGUCAAGCAAAAUUAAUUUAAGAAUAUUUUUAAAAUGAAAAAACUUAUAUUAUAAUUAUUCUUUUCGAGUUUUCAUAUUUUAAAACUGCUUUAUAAUGAAUUUAUUCUUAAUUUCAUUAAAAAUAUUCUUUCUCAAUAUAUACAAUUAAACUUUCAUUCAUCUAUUUCUAAAUCUUCCAAGGACUAGUGAAAUUAUUGGCAACAAUUCUUUGUUGACUUGUUGUUUUAUACAAGUGGGUUAAAUAUAAAUAUUAAUAUAUAUUUUUUAUUUUUUUAUUGUGUCCCUAAUUUUUUAAGUUGUUCAAUAUUUUAUUUUUAAUCACUAGUAAGUUGAUCACCAUCAUUUUUCAUAUGAAAUUCAAAACAAAAUACAUAUUAAUUCAUCAAAACUCAUUUCAAUUCAUAUUCAUAUGCAUAUAAUAGUAUCCAUACACAUAUUAAUUUAAGAAAUCCAUAAAUUAUCAUAAACUCUAACAUUUUUAAUAACUAAUUAUUAAGGAAUAAAACUAAAAUUAAACAAUGAAAUAAAUAGAAAAAAUAAAGAAAACUCACCUAAAACAUAAAGUAUAAAGCAUAAAAAGGUUACUUACUUAACUAAUUAAUAGUUUAGGACUUGAAGAAGAAUAUUGUAGAAGGAAGAGAGGCAGAAAAAAUAAAAAUAAAAAGAAAAAAAGCUUGGAUCAAUUAGUAGUUAAUAAAGAAAAUUAAACCGGUUAAGUUAUUAUAUUAAAAUUUUAAUAUAAAAAAUAUUUUGAAAAAAAAGAUUAAAGGGGCAAUUACCUCUUAAUCCCCAUUGUGGCUCUGCCAUUGAACUUGGUCUUGUGUAGGUUUUUCAUCAUAAUUAAAUUACAUUUUGUUUUUUCCACAAUAGUUUUCAUUUGUAAUCGAUUUUGCAAUCUCACUUAUGACAAAAUAAACAAUCAACUUUAGUUAAGGAAUUAUCUUAUUCUUUUCAAAAAUAGAAGGAACAAGUUAUAAAACAAUAAUAAAAAAAAGAACUAAAUUAUUAUUUUUAUAUAUAAAUUAUGUUAAGUUUGUGUUUUUCAUACGUUGAUGUAAAAAUAUUUAACAGAAAAAUAGGGCUUGUCCGGUAUUUAGUCAUGAACUUGGGCUGGGCUGACGUUAAGCAUUUAGGGCUCAAUCCAAUCUAACAACGAGAAGGAAACUAGGGUUUUAAACGCCCCUCGUAUGCUUUUCUGCAAAGCUUAAAAAGAGGGAAAGAAAGGAAGGAGGAAACAUUAUUGGUGGCCGGCGGCUUCUCUCCCAAGCACAUAAAAAAUGGUUACUUUCAGGGUAUGUAUGUGACCUUAAUUUUCAUAUUUUUUUUAAUUAUUCAUUAAUGAUUAAUGUAUCUAAAUAGAAAGAUGUUUGAUUGAUUGUGGAGUGAAACAGUUUCACCAGUACCAAGUGGUCGGGAGAGCACUUCCAACAGGGAGUGAUGAGCAUCCUAAGAUCUACCGGAUGAAGCUUUGGGCCACUAAUGAGGUCCGUGCCAAAUCCAAGUUUUGGUAUGUAUCUAUUUUCACUUCUCACCUCUCUCUCUCUCUCUACUAUAUUUCUUUGCAAGUUUUUUAUUAUUUGCUAAGUCCGUUUGUUGAUUAUAGGUACUUCUUGAGGAAGCUUAAGAAAGUCAAGAAGAGCAAUGGACAGGUUCUUGCAAUCAAUGAGGUAUGAGAGCUGAUUUGGGAUUUUUUUAGGAUUUUUCUUUGUUUUUUGUAUUGUUUUAUUGUUUAAUUGCCCGAUUUAAAAUGAUGGUACUGACAAAUGAAGUGGUGGUGAGUGGUGACUGUUGCUUAUUUUGUAAUGCAUGUGGACUUGCGGUGUUGAGUUGCCCAUCAUUAGGCUUUCUUGAAACAAAGAAUGAUUUUGGUGAAAAGGGAUGGCGAAUGAUUUUGGUGAAAAGGGAUGGCUGUUUCUGUUCAUUGUUUGUGAAUGAUUCUUUUAAUGAUAAAAGGGGCUGUAGCCUCAGUCUACAAUCAUGGGUAUGCAAAAGAGCAUUAUUAGAUACAACAUAUCCUUAUGAGUACAUUGAAAAAAUGACUGUUUUGAGAUCACAUGGAACAGUCUCAUGGAUUAUACCACAUUGUCAUUCUAGUCAAUGCUUUAGUAACCACUGGUAGGAUGGUUACACAAUUCCUUUAGUGAUAUAAUUUAGGAGGUUGGCUGUGGAGGCUCAUUUGAUGAUUGUUGGUAAAAAAAAAACCAGAGAGAAUUUGUACAAGUGUUGAUACCUCUAGCAUUCCUCUUUGUAGACUUGGAAUUAACAACCAUGUGAAUCUAGAUUCUGCAAUUUUAUAGUGACCCUUGCAUAUCUUCGUUACGCAGUUAUGAGUCUCUUAUUUGGUCAAAUUAUUAUGUAGGCAUGCCUAUGGGCAUGCUGGUUAGUUCAGUUUAUUAAUUACAACAGUCAGAUUUGUGGCUUCUAGGCUUUGCUGUCUCUCUCUAUGUUUUCUCUUUCUUCUGCAAUCUUUAACUGGCAUUUCGAAUAAAAACCUUUGUAUUAGUUUUUGGCUAGGAAAAGUUCCUUGUGUUUUAAAGAUAAAAGUCAAAAGAUCCAAAAAUGAGGGAUAUGUAAAAAACAUAAAAUUUCCCCCCUACUUGAAUUGUCACAACUUGGCAGGCUAAACAGGCUGUCCAUGAGAUGGUCUAUGCAAUAAUCUCCCUUUUAUCUAGGUUCCUAUGGGCGUAUUACGAGAGAAUGAUGUUUUCUUUUAAUGAUAUCUCGUUAAGAAUUAUGGUCGAAUAACCAUUAUCUUCAACCAAGGUUAUGGGUUUUUGUAAAUAAUCUCCCUUUUAUCUAGGUUCCUAUGGGCGUAUUAUGCGAGAAUGAUGUUUUCUUUUAAUAUAUCUCGUUAAGAAUUAUAGUCGAAUAUCCAUUUAUCUUCAACCAAGGUUAUGAGUUUUUGUAAUUUCUUAUGUGCUAAACUCUCCUGGUGUUUGAGGGUAGGGAAGUUAUAUGAAAGGUUUGCAUCUUCCUCAACUAUUGGUUUGGAUCCAUUGAUGAUUAUAGUUUCCCUUUCAAGAUUAGAAGCUACUGUGCAAAGUCUCAGAGCUGAUAUAGAAGGUUUCCAAAACAGUACUGAUUAGCAGUAAAAUGGACUAUAAAACAUCAUUUUCAAUAUAGUAAGACCAUACUCAAGUUUUUCAAAGUUUACAUUAAGUAGAACCAUUUAAUACUGAAACCAGCUUCUUCAAUCAGGAUGGAUCAGCUUAUAUUUGAAAAUGGGGGUUUGAUCUAAAGUUGAAUCUAAGUUAAAAAGGGUAUGAAACAGCCCUGUACAUGCUUAACACAGUUCAAGGCUAGAAUGAUGGAUGUCCAGGUUAACUCAGAACUAUGCCAAGGCUUUCAAUGAAGAGUUUAGAUGAAGUUGCACCAGUGAAAUUCUUAGAACUUGUAAGAAAUUAGACUAAAGUUAGUAACAAUUUGCUUGGCUUAACUUGUAACCGAGCAUUUGUUUCUGUCUAUUGUCAUGCUUUAUGGCUUGAAAUAUCUGCAUUUUUUUUGUGUUGGUGUGGAUCUCACCAACAUGCAAAAAAGUAUUGAUUGACCACAUCAAGUCAAUAGCUCAUUGAUUCAGGUGGGUGCAUGGAAAUAAGCAUGUGUUUUUUUUUGUUUCAACUACUAAUAUUAGUGUGUUAGAACCUAAAUGAUAAACCUAAAUUUUACAAGUAACCUUGAUGUGUAAAGCCUAUGAAAGGAUAACUUGGACAGAUUAAUUUUACUUGUGUUUGUUAUCUCCUACACAAGUGCAUUUAGAUAAUCCGGAUUUUGAUGUUACAUUGAUGAAUAUUUUACAGCUCUUUUGCUUGAUGCCUGUGUGGGCCAAAUUUCCCUUUAAUUAAGAUAAGGAUAAUGUUGAACCGAAGAAUUAAGCUGGUAAAAUCCUUUUAACAGGAAAUGGGCUUCUGUGUUACCCAUCCAUUCUAAUGAUGUUAGCAGCUUGGAAUUAUAAUUCCUCAGCUCUGAUUUUGUCACGUACUUUUUAGCACCAUUUGUGGUAUUUGUAAAUGAAUUGCCUGGUGGAAGGACAGAUGCACUGGCUUUUCUGCAAUUUUGUUGUGCCUUAGUGUUGCAAACAUCUUCAAAUAAUUAUUUUCUGAUUGUAGAUUUUUGAGAAGAAUCCUACCAAGAUCAAGAAUUAUGGAAUAUGGCUGCGAUACCAGAGCCGAACUGGCUAUCACAACAUGUACAAGGAAUACCGCGACACAACUCUUAAUGGUGCUGUUGAACAAAUGUACACUGAGAUGGCAUCUCGCCACAGGGUGAGGUUUCCAUGCAUCCAAAUCAUUAAGACAGCUACCAUCCCAGCCAAGCUUUGCAAGAGAGAGAGUACCAAGCAGUUUCACAACUCCAAAAUCAAAUUUCCAUUGGUGUUCAAGAAGGUUAGACCCCCAUCCAGGAAGCUCAAGACAACAUACAAGGCUUCCAGGCCCAACCUGUUUAUGUGACGUGGUUCGUCAUUUUGCUGGUUCCUCAAUAUGUCAACUUGUUAGAUUGAAUAGUUUGUUGAACUAGAGUGAAUUGGACAUGAUCUCCUUUAUGAACUCUACUUCUGGAGAGAUAAAUCUGCAUUUGUUGUUCAC
rnacentral:lncRNA from 1 species